CCCACAGACACGACACUCCGCACAGAUGCACACAAUCACCCAUACGUGCUCAAGCUACCUGAAAGACCUGCUAAUAUCCCUAUACCCUUCUAUUUCCAACAGUUCUCGGUACCUAUUGAAUUUGAAGAUCAAGAAGGAACCCGAAGAAGAAAAGAACAAAGAUGGAGUCAUCAGGAAGAACCUGGAUAGGAUUCAGGUUUCAGCCACUACUCCACUAUCCUCAAACCUAUCCAGGUGCAGCCAAAGUUCCUGCAGAGUCGUCGGUUCGGGCCCAGACGGGUCAAGGCAGGGAUCGAAGCGAGACGGGAGGAGGCGAGAGAAGCUGCACCUGGUCUCGGACAGGAGGACGUUGCGUACGGGAGCUGUACAUCGGUCAGGAGCUGAGCAACCACCUUCGCGAGCCCCGGGCGAUAAGUGCAGUCUCAAGGGGCACGCUGCAGAACAACGGUGGUGGCAUCUCACGGAGCCUGCCGGGCGUCGUGCUGGGACCGUGAUCCCGCCUUCGCGACAGCCCACCCCUAAUGGACAAGCACAAAGUGAAAAGACAGCGGCUGGACAGGAUUUGUGAAGGUUUGCUUUUGCGUACCCACGCACCCCUCCCCCCUUUUUAUUUUGUUACCUUUUUAAUAGUAUAUGCAACUUCAGGUCAGUUUUGCCAAAACAUUCUGUUUUGAAUGUCUGUUCUCCUUGACUGUUGCUGUUGCUGUUUCAGUAAUUGUACAGUUUUUUUUGUGUAGUUUUAAAAAAAUUUCUCAUGUUCUUUGAUUCAAAAUAUUUUUCCUGUAUAUAUUAUAUGUCUUGCACAAUGUGAAGUAGAAGCAUCUAAUGAUGUUCCUUUAAUUUAUGCUGCUGAACUUCCCUUGUAUUUUGUGCUGAGUUUCAUUACCUUGUCAUGUGCUUGUGCACUGUUUGAUGCUCCAGAGUCAUUUAUGGAAUGACUGAAUGACUGCAUAUUUGUUUCCUCAUGCAGUAUGUGCUUUGUUACAAACCCUUCCUUUGUGAUGUUUGGGAACCAUGAUGAAGUUUCAUAGAAAUUCAGGUUUCAUUUCCUUAUUUUGUUUUUGAUCCAAAGCUUUUAUCGUGUGCAAUGUUUGAGAUAGUGCUCUGACAGUGGUGCUGGAAAGGCAGCAGAAGGCUGGAAGAUUGCCUGCUGGUACUUUGUAUCUGCUGUCACUUCCAUGUCUUCAAACCAUGUGGUAGUAAAGCUCACUUGAAUCAUUCAUUUGUUUCUAUUCUGUGGAACUUUAUCGGUUUUGCCUGUCACUUGUCCUUGUUCUGCCUGUAGUGACAAAGAACAGUCUCAACUUUCAUUUGAUAACACAGUGUGUAUUUGUUGGCUGGGUGGUAAGUCUGCUCUGGUAUGUGAGCUUAACGUAUCAUGCACCCUUGUACAAACCCUCAAUGACUACCCAUUGCCAUUUAUUUUGUAUAUGUUGAAUGAUUACCCUUUUAAAAAGCAUAUUAGUCUGUGCUUGUAAUCAUAUUGCACAGACCGUAGAUAUUUCUCAGGUUGUCAUGUUCUUCUGUGCCAUAUCAUGCAUCAAUAUUAUUUUGCGUUCAGCAUUGCGAGAUGGGGCCAAAAAUGAUAUAUAACACGAUAUCUCAAAAAGUUAUGGACGGAUUCGGACUAAACUUGGUUGGGCAGGUUGGAUGUAUGAUGAGGACAAACUGAUUCAAUUUUGGUGAAGAUCCGGAUCCGCAUCCAUCUCGGAGAAUCUUUGAAGUGAUUCUUCACUAUUGAGAGAUGGGGCCAAAAACGAUAUAGAGCGAGCACGACAUUUCAAAAAGUUGUGGACGGGUUAUGACAGAACUUGGUGGAUGAGUUGGGUACAUGACGAGAACAAGCGAUUCGAUUUUGGUUCAGGUAUAGAUGCAGAUCCAGCCUAUCAGUGGAAUACAAAACGUAAACUGUUCAGCCUGGCAGAGGUACAUGCGUUCUACUGAGUGCCGUUCUAGUUGCUCAUGUUUUGAUAAAUUACUCUUGUUGACCUUUGACUUGUACAAUAAAUGGAGUCAUCUCAGACAUGAAUCAUUUACUAAGGCUGAUAUUUGGUAAUGAUAUACCAUGAAGCAUAUUAUGUGUGAUCUGCAGAUUCUCUGUUUGUUGAAGUUGCAAUUUUGGGAGUAGGAGGGUGGAGUGGGGUGGGGGGGAUGAGGAAGUUAGGUUAAAGGUUAUGUUGUUAAACAAAUUUUUAUGACUGACCUUUUUGCAAAAUAAUACAUGCGUCUCGAUAUGGCUUGAAGUGACAUUUUAGUUUGUGUAAGAAACGUCUCCAUAGAUUAGAAAUGAAUGGUUUUGAGAUUUCGAAGCAAUCCGAGUUUUGAUAAACUUCAAAUUUUGGUCAUAACUUUCAAGAUCCAUAUUUUGGGAUCUGUUUGGCAAGUUUGCUUAAGAUUCUGUGUGCAUUGUUUUCAAUUGAAAGCUAAACAGCUAACUAAACUGUGACACAUUUGGUGAAAAUAUUUUGUGCAAUGAUUUUCACUCUUUUGUUGGAAAUGCACUGGCUUAUUAUCUCCCAUGAUAUUCUGGUUCAAAUGUUAAAUAUUAUUUGCCAGAACAACCCGCUGACAUUCUUCUUCUUUAAUGGCCACAAUAAUUCCCAUGUUAUUUUGGGGUUGGCCGGGGGAAGUGUUUUUUGCCCGUCUUUCAUGAACCGGCUGGCCAGGCCUGAUGUUCGUAUAAGUCAUUUUGGAAUUUGUUCAGGGUGCCGGAGAUAACUCACCAACUCUUCGCCAAGGACACUGAGAUCCAAUGUCCACUAACUAAUGCCGGCAAAAGGGAAGCCUACUUUGACAUCCUUCCGAGAGAUGGCACAUACAUUGAUGAAUCACCCUCCCUGUGAAACAACGUGAUGACAGUUUAUAGCUGGGUCAUGAUUCAAACUCAAGCUAGACAGCUUAGAGGUGAGUGUACCUACCUUUAGGCCAUCCUGCCAUCCCAACACCCCACUCAGCAUUAAUAGCACAGUUUCAUUCCUUCAAAUCAUUGGUGUAAUUAUUUGGAUGCUUUUCACAUGCCCUCAGUGACAGUUUCUCACUUUUUGGCAAGAGAGGCGGUGAAACUUUAUCGGAUAUUUUGGACACGCUAUUCAUCUUCAAAAUGUUGACUGCCAUUGAUAGACAUAUUGUUCUUUGCCAAGAUGGAUAGGAUUUGCUGAAAAUCUUGGAUUUGCGAAUUAUCUUGCUGCCUGAGCAUUAGGUCACAGCAGUGUGGACGACCAUUUAUAACACAGCCGUGUCAGCAGACAAUCAAUGGUAUAUGAGAGGGUUCGGAAUGGAUUGCAUUGCAGGAGAACCAUUAAAAUGAAUCUGCUUUGACACAAAUUUUGUUAAAAUGACAACACAAAAAUCUUAUUUAUUUAAUUAAACUAAUUACUAAAAAUUGUCUUCUUUUUUUGAUGUGAAGGUUGUGGUUAAAAAAGUCAAAUACAAACUCCUUCGCUGUUGUGGUAUGAGGAACCGUGUGCCACACCGGCUUUUGUGCACGGCUCCUGGUCAGCAGGAUUUUUCUGCCACACACCAUUCUGACUGGUCCACAAACAGAUCGAGAGAGGUAGCUGGGAAAAAUGCAAUUAAAAGAAGGAUGUCUGGUUAUGUGCGGACCACACAAAGCAGAUCCUGCCGCUCACUGCAGUCUUCUCGAGGGUCGGACAUCAAAGGCACUAGAAUAGGAUGGUAUUUACAUUAUCAAGCUGCACAAGCCAGCUCACUCUGGUGGAGAGGCACCAUCCAUGAGCAUGUUUCUGUCGAGUUGGCCCUCAUCGGCACAGAGCAGGUGCCCAACCCCAACUCCCUCCCCCUCCCUAAACCACCUUGCCUUCUCAGUGAUUUGGCCAUGCCACCUUGAGGCUUUAUUUAAAAUACAAAGGCCUUCACUGUUACGGUACCAGGAGCCACAUGCCAUAUCAGAUAUUGCCAUAUGAAUCCUGACGAGCAGGAUGGCUGCAACACACCAUGUUUGAUUUUUGUCCACCAGCAUAUCUGGAGAGGUGGCCAGGAAAAUUGCAAUUGAAAGAACGAUAAAACCUCCAGCUAUGCGCAGACUGCGUCAGGAUCUGCCUUGUGUAUCUUCUCCGUGCUGCUGAUGUGGUGUAUGCAUCUGACCCGUUUUUACAGCGUUCAAGCCAGAAACGCUUAAAUUUCUUUCUUUGGCAAAAACCCAAAAGUAGUAUGAUUCUAUGAAAGGAUGCAUGUAUUUUUUAUUUUAUUUUGUUUGUUCAUUCGAGUUUUUGUUCUGUCCAUUUUGGGUGUGAUCAUCUCCAAAUUUACAUCUUCAUUGGGGUUCGGCUUUAAGUUGAUAAAAUGAUUUGAUGUCUGAAAAGUUGAUUUACUGGAGGGAGGAAGAUGGGGCUAGUUGAGUGUUAAUUUAUACUUUUUUGUUUUGGAUGACUCUUAAAAAAAAGACAGACACAAGCUUUCAAUGAUUUGUAUUUAGUUGUAGUAAUAUCUAACAACUCCUGAAUGAAGUGAAAUUACAGCUGUGCACAGCAUUCUGCUAUUUCUAAGAUCGGCAUGACCAUUGUAUCAUAUGCUGUGGAACAGCAUUGUCAUGAAAUUUCUGGUGAAUUCACAGAAGAUUGGUUCAUUCUGUGUUUGCCUCUCUUGCAGAUGUUUGAGUGCUGCAAAAGAUUUGAAAGUGGACUUUAAUUUACCUUGAACAUUUGUCGUUGCAUGCUAUAACCUUGAAUCACCCUUGUUAAGUGAAUCAGACUUGUGAAGUUGCUAAUUGUUUUUGGAUAUUUUUAGCUAUAUUUGCUACCCACACCUUUUAUUCUGCCCUGGUUUCAAAAACUUAACACUUGUGUUCUGAAAGCUGAGGCUGUUUAUGGUAUUCCAUUUCCUGUCACAUUUACUAUUCUUAUUAAAUGAGAUUUCUACUGGGACAGUUUCUUGUGAAGAUUAAUUUUUGGAUAGCUUCCUGAAUGCUCAUUAUACUGGCUGCAGCACCUGGAAGUUUGUAAAACGGUUGGAUCUGGACAUUUGAUCAUAAAAAAGAAAAAAGAGAAAUGACGAUGCGAGUAAUCCGGUUUUUUGCUGAACUUUGGUUUGCAGCUUUUUGUUGGGCCUUAUUCUGGCUCUUCAAUCGAUAUGCUUUGUGUUUUACAUGAGCAAAUAAAACCCGAGGCUCAGUUGGGGGGGG
rnacentral:lncRNA from 1 species